GAUGAACGCUGGCGGCGUGCUUAACACAUGCAAGUCGAGCGAGUGAGUUCUUCGGAACGAUCUAGCGGCGGACGGGUGAGUAACACGUGGGCAACCUGCCUCAUAGAGGGGAAUAGCCUCCCGAAAGGGAGAUUAAUACCGCAUAACAUCGUUGAAGGGCAUCCUUCGAUGAACAAAGGAGCAAUCCGCUAUGAGAUGGGCCCGCGGCGCAUUAGCUAGUUGGUGAGGUAACGGCUCACCAAGGCGACGAUGCGUAGCCGACCUGAGAGGGUGAUCGGCCACAUUGGGACUGAGACACGGCCCAGACUCCUACGGGAGGCAGCAGUGGGGAAUAUUGCACAAUGGGGGAAACCCUGAUGCAGCAACGCCGCGUGAGUGAUGACGGCCUUCGGGUUGUAAAGCUCUGUCUUUGGGGACGAUAAUGACGGUACCCAAGGAGGAAGUCACGGCUAACUACGUGCCAGCAGCCGCGGUAA
rnacentral:rRNA from 1 species